rnacentral:rRNA from 2 species
AAAUUGAAGAGUUUGAUCAUGGCUCAGAUUGAACGCUGGCGGCAGGCCUAACACAUGCAAGUCGAACGGUAGCACAGAGAGCUUGCUCUCGGGUGACGAGUGGCGGACGGGUGAGUAAUGUCUGGGAAACUGCCUGAUGGAGGGGGAUAACUACUGGAAACGGUAGCUAAUACCGCAUAACGUCGCAAGACCAAAGAGGGGGACCUUCGGGCCUCUUGCCAUCAGAUGUGCCCAGAUGGGAUUAGCUAGUAGGUGGGGUAACGGCUCACCUAGGCGACGAUCCCUAGCUGGUCUGAGAGGAUGACCAGCCACACUGGAACUGAGACACGGUCCAGACUCCUACGGGAGGCAGCAGUGGGGAAUAUUGCACAAUGGGCGCAAGCCUGAUGCAGCCAUGCCGCGUGUAUGAAGAAGGCCUUCGGGUUGUAAAGUACUUUCAGCGGGGAGGAAGGUGUUGUGGUUAAUAACCACAGCAAUUGACGUUACCCGCAGAAGAAGCACCGGCUAACUCCGUGCCAGCAGCCGCGGUAAUACGGAGGGUGCAAGCGUUAAUCGGAAUUACUGGGCGUAAAGCGCACGCAGGCGGUCUGUCAAGUCGGAUGUGAAAUCCCCGGGCUCAACCUGGGAACUGCAUUCGAAACUGGCAGGCUAGAGUCUUGUAGAGGGGGGUAGAAUUCCAGGUGUAGCGGUGAAAUGCGUAGAGAUCUGGAGGAAUACCGGUGGCGAAGGCGGCCCCCUGGACAAAGACUGACGCUCAGGUGCGAAAGCGUGGGGAGCAAACAGGAUUAGAUACCCUGGUAGUCCACGCCGUAAACGAUGUCGACUUGGAGGUUGUGCCCUUGAGGCGUGGCUUCCGGAGCUAACGCGUUAAGUCGACCGCCUGGGGAGUACGGCCGCAAGGUUAAAACUCAAAUGAAUUGACGGGGGCCCGCACAAGCGGUGGAGCAUGUGGUUUAAUUCGAUGCAACGCGAAGAACCUUACCUACUCUUGACAUCCAGAGAACUUUCCAGAGAUGGAUUGGUGCCUUCGGGAACUCUGAGACAGGUGCUGCAUGGCUGUCGUCAGCUCGUGUUGUGAAAUGUUGGGUUAAGUCCCGCAACGAGCGCAACCCUUAUCCUUUGUUGCCAGCGGUCCGGCCGGGAACUCAAAGGAGACUGCCAGUGAUAAACUGGAGGAAGGUGGGGAUGACGUCAAGUCAUCAUGGCCCUUACGAGUAGGGCUACACACGUGCUACAAUGGCGCAUACAAAGAGAAGCGAACUCGCGAGAGCAAGCGGACCUCAUAAAGUGCGUCGUAGUCCGGAUUGGAGUCUGCAACUCGACUCCAUGAAGUCGGAAUCGCUAGUAAUCGUAGAUCAGAAUGCUACGGUGAAUACGUUCCCGGGCCUUGUACACACCGCCCGUCACACCAUGGGAGUGGGUUGCAAAAGAAGUAGGUAGCUUAACCUUCGGGAGGGCGCUUACCACUUUGUGAUUCAUGACUGGGGUGAAGUCGUAACAAGGUAACCGUAGGGGAACCUGCGGUUGGAUCACCUCCUUA